UACAGAGGUGGCAAGCGUUGUUCGGAAUUACUGGGCGUAAAGGGCGCGUAGGCGGCCUACUCAGUCAGACGUGAAAUCCCCCGGCUUAACCUGGGAACUGCGUCUGAUACUGGAAGGCUUGAGUAUGGGAGAGGGAUGUAGAAUUCCAGGUGUAGCGGUGAAAUGCGUAGAUAUCUGGAGGAAUACCGGUGGCGAAGGCGGCAUCCUGGACCAACACUGACACUGAGGAGCGAAAGCCAGGGGAGCAAACGGG
rnacentral:rRNA from 1 species